AUUGAACGCUGGCGGCAGGCCUAACACAUGCAAGUCGAACGAGUGGCGGACGGGUGAGUUAUGUCUGGGAAACUGCCUGAUGGAGGGGGCAAACUACUGGAAAAGGUAGCUAAUACCGCAUACCAUCAGAUGUGCCCAGAUGGGAGUAGCCAGUUUGUGGGGUAACGGCUCACCAAGGCGACGAUCCCUAGCUGGUCUGAGAGGAUGACCGGACAAACGGGAAAUGAUAGACGGUCCAGACUCCGAAGGGAGGCAGCAGGGGGGAAUAUGGAGGAAUGGGCGCAAGCAUGAUGCAGCCAUGCCGCGUGUAUGAAGAAGGCAUUCGGGUUGUAAAGUACUUUCAGCGGUGAGGCGUUACCCGCAGAAGAAGCACCGGCUAACUCCGUGCCAGCAGCCGCGGUAAUAC
rnacentral:rRNA from 1 species